rnacentral:tRNA from 1 species
GGGCCCAUAGCUCAGUUGGUUAGAGCAGUCGACUCAUAAUCGAUUGGUCGGGGGUUCAAGUCCCUCUGGGCCCACCA